UACGGAGGGUGCGAGCGUUGUCCGGAAUCAUUGGGCGUAAAGGGCGCGUAGGUGGCUUCUUAAGCGUGCGGUGAAAGCCUGGGCUCAACCCCGGGUCGCCGUGCGAACUGGGGGGCUGGAGCACUGUAGAGGCAGGCGGAAUUCCGGGUGUAGCGGUGGAAUGCGUAGAGAUCCGGAAGAACACCGGUGGCGAAGGCGGCCUGCUGGACAGUUGCUGACACUGAGGCGCGACAGCGUGGGGAGCAAACAGG
rnacentral:rRNA from 1 species